CCUGGUGAUCAUAAAGUAGUGGGAAACACACGUAUCCAUUCCGAACACGCUCGUUAAGCCUUUACUUGCCAAUGGUAGUGCUGCGUUAUGCAGUGCGAGAGUAGGUUGUUGCCAGGC
rnacentral:rRNA from 1 species